rnacentral:rRNA from 1 species
GACGAACGCUGGCGGCGUGCUUAACACAUGCAAGUCGAACGAUGAAGCUGGAGCUUGCUCCGGUGGAUUAGUGGCGAACGGGUGAGUAACACGUGAGCAAUCUGCCCUUGACUCUGGGAUAACUGCGGGAAACUGUAGCUAAUACCGGAUACUUUCACUGGAAGGCAUCUUCUGGUGAAGAAAGAAUUUCGGUCAAGGAUGAGCUCGCGGCCUAUCAGCUUGUUGGUGAGGUAACGGCUCACCAAGGGGACGACGGGUAGCCGGCCUGUGAGGGUGAGCGGCCACACUGGGACUGAGACACGGCCCAGACUCCUACGGGAGGCAGCAGUGGGGAAUAUUGCACAAUGGGCGGAAGCCUGAUGCAGCAACGCCGCGUGGGGGAUGAAGGCCUUCGGGUUGUAAACCUCUUUUGGCAGGGAAGAAGCGAAAGUGACGGUACCUGCAGAAAAAGCACCGGCUAACUACGUGCUAGCAGCCGCCGCCG